rnacentral:rRNA from 1 species
AGAGUUUGAUCAUGGCUCAGAUUGAACGCUGGCGGCAGGCCUAACACAUGCAAGUCGAGCGGAAACGAGUUAUCUGAACCUUCGGGGAACGAUAACGGCGUCGAGCGGCGGACGGGUGAGUAAUGCCUGGGAAAUUGCCCUGAUGUGGGGGAUAACCAUUGGAAACGAUGGCUAAUACCGCAUAAUAGCUUCGGCUCAAAGAGGGGGACCUUCGGGCCUCUCGCGUCAGGAUAUGCCCAGGUGGGAUUAGCUAGUUGGUGAGGUAAGGGCUCACCAAGGCAACGAUCCCUAGCUGGUCUGAGAGGAUGAUCAGCCACACUGGAACUGAGACACGGUCCAGACUCCUACGGGAGGCAGCAGUGGGGAAUAUUGCACAAUGGGCGCAAGCCUGAUGCAGCCAUGCCGCGUGUAUGAAGAAGGCCUUCGGGUUGUAAAGUACUUUCAGCAGUGAGGAAGGUUCAUAUGUUAAUAGCGUAGG